rnacentral:tRNA from 1 species
AGGCAGGAAGCGAAAAUUCGCAGUUGAUUUCGGCUCAUCUUUUGGUCAAAUAGACCCUUGUUUU